UUGGAGGGCAAGUCUGGUGCCAGCAGCCGCGGUAAUUCCAGCUCCAAUAGCGUAUAUUAAAGUUGUUGCAGUUAAAAAGCUCGUAGUUGAACCUCGGGGUCUACCCAUUGGUCAGGCUUAAUUGUCUGCACUGGUGAGAUGGAUCUCUACCUUCUGAGGAACUUUCAUGCCAUUUAUUUGGUGUGAUGGGAAAUCAGGACUGUUACUUUGAAAAAAUUAGAGUGUUUAAAGCAGACUAUCGUCUGAAUACAUUAGCAUGGAAUAAUGAAAUAGGACGGACUGAUUCUAUUUCGUUGGUUUCUAGGAUCACCGUAAUGAUUAAUAGGGAUAGUUGGGGGCAUUAGUAUUCAAUUGUCAGAGGUGAAAUCCUUGGAUUUAUUGAAGACUAACUACUGCGAAAGCAUUUGCCAAGGAUGUUUUCAUUAAUCAAGAACGAAAGUUAGGGGAUCGAAGACGAUCAGAUACCGUCGUAGUCUUAACCAUAAACUAUGCCGACUAGGGAUCGGACGAAGUUAAUUUUAUAAUGACGCGUUCGGCACCUUACGGGAAACCAAAGUGUUUGGGUUC
rnacentral:rRNA from 1 species